rnacentral:rRNA from 1 species
UACGGAGGGGGCUAGCGUUGUUCGGAAUUACUGGGCGUAAAGCGCGCGUAGGCGGCUUUUGUAAGUUAGAGGUGAAAGCCCCGGAGCUCAACUCCGGAACUGCCUUUAAGACUGCAUCGCUAGAAUCAUGGAGAGGUGAGUGGAAUUCCGAGUGUAGAGGUGAAAUUCGUAGAUAUUCGGAAGAACACCAGUGGCGAAGGCGACUCACUGGACAUGUAUUGACGCUGAGGUGCGAAAGCGUGGGGAGCAAACAGG